rnacentral:rRNA from 1 species
UUGCGGUUAAAAAGCUCGUAGUUGGAUUUCUGUCGAGAAGCGCCGGUCCACACUUUGUGUGAGUAUCUGGUUGCGUCUUGGCAUCCUCUUGGGGAACGUUUCUGCGCUUGAUUGCGUGGAGCGGUAUUCAAGACUUUUACUUUGAGGAAGUUAGAGUGUUCACGGCAGGCAAACGCCUUGAAUACAUUAGCAUGGAAUAAUAAUAUAGGACUUUAGCCCUAUUUUGUUGGUUUCUAGAGCUAGAGUAAUGAUUAAUAGGGAUAAUUGGGGGCAUUCGUAUUAACGCGUCAGAGGUGGAAUUCUUGGAUUGCGUUACGACGAACUACUGCGAAAGCAUUUGCCAAGGAUGUUUUCAUUGAUCAAGAACGAAAGUUAGGGGAUCGAAGACGCUUAGAUACCGUCGUAGUCUUAACCAUAAACUAUGCCAACUAGAGAUUGGAGGUCGUUCUUUUUAUGACUCCUUCAGCACCUUAUGAGAAAUCAAAGUUUUUGGGUUCCGGGGGGAGUAUGGUCGCAAGGCUGAAACUUAAAGGAAUUGACGGAAGGGCACCACCAGGAGUGGAGCCUGCGGCUUAAUUUGACUC